rnacentral:rRNA from 1 species
ACUCAAAUGAAUUGACGGGGGCCCGCACAAGCGGUGGAUUAUGUGGAUUAAUUCGAUGCAACGCGAAAAACCUUACCUGGCCUUGACAUGUACGGAACUUUCCAGAGAUGGAUUGGUGCCCGAAAGGGAGCCGUAACACAGGUGCUGCAUGGCUGUCGUCAGCUCGUGUCGUGAGAUGUUGGGUUAAGUCCCGCAACGAGCGCAACCCUUGCCAUUAAUUGCCAUCAUUUAGUUGGGCACUUUAAUGGGACUGCCGGUGACAAACCGGAGGAAGGUGGGGAUGACGUCAAGUCCUCAUGGCCCUUAUGGCCAGGGCUUCACACGUAAUACAAUGGUCGGUACAGAGGGUAGCCAACCCGCGAGGGGGAGCCAAUCCCAGAAAGCCGAUCGUAGUCCGGAUUGCAGUCUGCAACUCGACUGCAUGAAGUCGGAAUCGCUAGUAAUCGCGGAUCAGCAUGUCGCGGUGAAUACGUUCCCGGGCCUUGUACACACCGCCCGU